rnacentral:rRNA from 1 species
UAAUACGUGCAAGUCGAACGAGAAAGUGGACUUCGGUCCGCGAGUAGAGUGGCGCACGGGUGAGUAAUACGUGGGUAAUCUACCCUUGAAUUUGGGAUAACAUCGCGAAAGUGGUGCUAAUACCGGAUAAUAUCUAAAUGUCUUAGGGUGUUUAGAUCAAAGAUGGCCUCUUCUUGAAAGCUAUCGUUUGAGGAUGAGCCCACGCACCAUUAGCUAGUUGGUAGGGUAAAGGCCUACCAAGGCUUCGAUGGUUAGCUGGUCUGAGAGGAUGAUCAGCCACACUGGAACUGACACACGGUCCAGACUCCUACGGGAGGCAGCAGUGAGGAAUAUUGCACAAUGGGGGCAACCCUGAUCCAGCCAUGCCGCGUGUGUGAAGAAGGCCUUAGGGUUGUAAAAACUCUGUCAGUAGGGAAGAAGUUAUUCAUGGUUAACACCCAUGGGUAUUGACGGUACCUACAAAGGAAGCACCGGCUAACUCCGUGCCAGCAGCCGCGGUAAUACGGGGGGUGCAAGCGUUAUUCGGAAUUAUUGGGCGUAAAGCGAGUGUAGGCGGUUUGUUAAGUCAGAUGUGAAAGCCCGGGGCUCAACCCCGGAAGUGCAUUUGAAACUGGCAGACUUGAGUAUGGGAGAGGAAAGUGGAAUUCCUGGUGUAGAGGUGAAAUUCGUAGAUAUCAGGAGGAACACCGGUGGCGAAGGCGACUUUCUGGACCAAUACUGACGCUCAGACUCGAAGGCGUGGGGAGCAAACAGGAUUAGAUACCCUGGUAGUCCACGCAGUAAACGUUGACAACUAGGUGUCGCGGGUAUUGACCCCUGCGGUGCCGGAGCUAACGCAUUAAGUUGUCCGCCUGGGGAGUACGAUCGCAAGAUUAAAACUCAAAGGAAUUGACGGGGGCCCGCACAAGCGGUGGAGCAUGUAGUUUAAUUCGACGCAAUGCCAAGAACCUUACCUGGAUUUGACAUCCUGGGAAUUUUUUUGAAAGAUGAUUUGAGUGCCCUUCGGGGAACCCAGUGACAGGUGCUGCAUGGCUGUCGUCAGCUCGUGUCGUGAGAUGUUCGGUUAAGUCCCGCAACGAGCGCAACCCUUGUCUUUAGUUGCCAGUAUUCGGUUAGGCACUCUAGAGAUACUGCCUCGGUUAACGAGGAGGAAGGUGGGGAUGACGUCAAGUCUUCAUGGCCUUUAUAUCCAGGGCUACACACGUGCUACAAUGGGCUGUACAAAGGGUAGCUAAUUCGCGAGGGGGCGCUAAUCCCAAAAAGCAGUUCUCAGUUCGGAUUGGAGUCUGCAACUCGACUUCAUGAAGGUGGAAUCGCUAGUAAUCGUGGAUCAGCAUGCCACGGUGAAUACGUUCCCGGGCCUUGUACACACCGCCCGUCACACCACGAAAGUCGGUUGUACCAGAAGUUAUUGGGCUAACCCCUCUGGGGAGGCAGGUACCUAAGGUACGGCCGGUAAUUGGGGUGAAGUCGUAA